GCUCCUUGUCUUAUGGUGCUUUAUUUUUUGUUCAUAUCAGGACAUCUGUGUAGCACUGCGGUGGAUAAAGCACUGGCCCCGGAGUCAGGAGGACCUGAGUUCAAAUGUGAUUUCAGACACUUAUCAGCUAUGUGAUUCUGGGGUUCCCCACUAUCUGUGGCCCUCUAUGGGUGAGGGUCAAUCACUCCAUGGUUUUGGGAAGCAGUGAUGGAAUAAAGUGUAAAAAUACUGGAAAGCCCCCUUGAAGGAACAUUCUCAGAAUAUUCUCCCUCCUCACCUUUGCCUCUUGGACUUCCCUCAAGGAAACCUCAGCUGCCACCUCCCCCAAGGACCCUUUUCUGAUCCCACUAAUUGUGGAACAACCAAGCUUGGAAACCCAAUUAGCACCUAAUUGACCUAGGAAGUUACCAGCAGCUUCUCCCCACCUCUCCCACCCCACUGCUCCAGGUAAUAGCAUUUCUACUCCGGUCCUGUCCGAUCUGCCAGGCAAUAAACACUUAUUAAGCAUUCAGUUAUUUAUUAUUCAUUUUAUUUAUUAUCAUUGUGUAUUUAUUUUGUAUAUAGGAGAAAGGAAGGAAACAUGCAUUUAUUAAGCACCUAGUAUUUGUCAGGUACUGUGCUAAGUUCUGGGGAUGCAAAAGAGUGCAAAAGACAGUCCUUGUCUUGUUCUCUCCCUUGGCUGUGGCUUCCCCAGUGGUAGUCUUACGGUGUUCUGGGGAUCCCCUCCAAAGUGUGGUCUCCUGGGGUCUCUAAUCCUAUCUCUAGGACCUGGAUUUGGGCACAUUUUAAAAAAUUAACUUUUAUUAAAUUUCCUUAGUAUUUUCUCCAGUUAUAUGUAAAAACAAUUUUAAACAUUAGUUUUUAAAACUUUGAGUUCCAAAUCCUCUCCCUUCCUCCCCCCAUAUUGAGAAGGCAAGCAAUUGGAUAUAGGUUAUACAUGUGUAGUCAUAGAAAACAUUUCCAUAAUAGUCAUGUUGAGAAAGAAAACACAGACCAAAAAAGGCAUCAAGAAAAAGAAAGAAAGUAAAACAAUCAUGCUUCAGUCUGUAUUCAGACAUCAGCAGUUCUUUCUCUGGGACGGACAGCAUUUUUCAUCAUAUAUCCUUCAGAGUUUUCUUGGCUCAUUGUAUUGCCGCAAAUAGCUAAGUCAUUCACAGCUGAUGGGCUUCUAAUAUUGCGGUUACUUUGUACAUAGCCAUUUAACUUUGUAUCAGCUCAUGUAAAUCGAGGUUUUUCUGAGAGCAUCCUGCUCAUCAUUUCUUAUCGCAUAAUAGUAUUCUAUCAUAAUCACAUAUCGCAGUUUGUUCAUCCAUUCACCACUUGAUGGGUACCUCCCCACAAUUUCCAAUCUCUGCUACCAGUAAAGAGCUGCUAUAAAUAUUUUGAUACAUAUAGGUCCUUUUUCCCUUUAAAAAAAAUCUCCUUGGGGAUAUAGAUCUAGUAAUGGUAUUGCUAGGUCAAAGGGUAUGCAUGGUUUUAUACUCCUUUGAGCAGUGUUCCAAAUUGCUCUACAGAAUGCUUAAAUCAGUUCACAACUCCACCAACAAUGCAUCAAUGUCUUAUUUUUCCUACAUCCCCUUGUCAUUUUCCUGUUAUGUCCUAUUCACCAAAUUAAUAUGUAUGUGGUAGUACUUUGAAAUAAUUUUAACUAUGUAUUUUAUUUUGUGCACUUAAAACAUUAUCCUGAGGAGGAGUCCAUCUGACUAUCCAAGAGGUCCAGGACACAAAGAAGGUCAAGAAUCCCUGGUGUAGAGAGUUACUGAGGGCAAUGUGGUUAUCUAGGGGAAGGAAUGGAGAUUAUGAUCUUGUGAGUUUCAAAAGGUCAAGAGAGUAAACCUUUGAAAUCCUAGCAUCCCCAAUUCCAGGUUCUGCAGUUAGUUCAUCAUAAAUAAUUUGAAAGGCAAAGGCAGUGGCCAUCAGGACCCAUUUCCAACGGUAAGUGACAGGAGGACUCAUCUGACAGUCAUGCUACAUUUGGAUUAAACGUUAAUAAACAUACCAUCAUAGAGAAAUUGUGUUCAAAAUGAGCCUGCUCUAUCCAGAGACAGAGCAUAGGGGACAGAACGUGCCUCUGAAGUGCUGGGGGGAUUUAUAAACUUUUGUUUUUGCUAAAUCUUCAGAGUAAAUAUCCCUUUCUAAAAGCAAAAUCAUGUUCAUCAGUCAAAUGGACUUGGGGGAAACACAACCAGUGGGGGCUCAAGACAAUGGUAUGAGGCAAAGACAAUUCUCCACACUCCUCAAGAUACCCUGGGAACCCGGAAAGAGUGACAACUCCUGAUGUAGCUGUGAUAACGAGCCAGAGAACGUUUAUUAUAUGUCAGCACAGGCCUUCCCUCUAUCAUCGGUCUGUCUUCUCUGGGUUGAGCAACAAUAGUUCCAUCAAAUGAACAAAGGCAAUCUGGACUAAACUAGCUUCACGGGGGAAUUUCUCAGGGAAGAGACUUCAUAAAUGUCUACCUUGAAGAUCAAUUUGCCCCAGUGUCUUCUGGGAGCAGGACAUCCUUUGACAGGGAUUACUUUCUUAGUCUCAGAUUUUUUUUUUUUUUGUAACAAGCAGACAAGUUUUAUUAUCGAGUCUAACUAAUAUCUCCGUGGUCAGGUUCAUGGUAAAAAUCCUGGAUAUCAGCAAUAAAUCCCCACUUCUCCUCUCCAA